rnacentral:lncRNA from 1 species
ACACUUUGACUCAUGGAAGAGUGUUGAGGCUGUGAUUUCUGAUCUAGCCUUCUUUCACGGGGCAGAAAUCCCUGCACCAAGAUGAGGAAGGGUGCUGUCAGGUUACUGUAGCCUCCAGUGAGAAAUGCUGUACUGUUUGCUGUUUGGGUUUUUUGCCCCUAAUGUGUUGAGUCCUAAGUCCGUGCUAGCUUCAGGACCACACCACUGGAUAAUUAGAUUGUUUUCCCAGAGCAGCUUUCCCGGAGGCUGGGGAUUUGACAGCCCAGAGGCUUUAGGUGCCUGAAGGAAAGAGGCUGGCUGCCCCCUCGGUGUCUUACUCACAUUUCUACUUUCGACAGUUGCAAAGCCCACACCCCAAGGGGCCUCAGCUUGCAACAUUGCCUCUAAACCUAACCAACUUGCUGAAACUUUUUGCAAUUUCUCAAACUCCGGAGAGUUCUUUUCCCUCCCACCCUGGGGGGCGCCAAAGGUCUGCGGCAGCCGGGGUAAGGACCAUGUAGUGCAGCCAGCAGGGAAUCUCAGGGAAAGAAAGGGGUAGCCCUGUGUGCGUGCUUCUCUCCUGAGGGUGGUGGAAAUCCUUGCUACUGAGCCCCAUCCUUACAGUGAAGCCCCCAAGCCCUUCUUUCCUCAUAGCACACCACGAAUUGGGUCCAAAAUCCCUGCCAGUCUCAGCCUAUAGUGCUCUCCAGCGGGACCCCUGCAGCUGUUGCCACCGGAGUUUAUCAACCCUGGGUUCAGCUGGAGAAUCCAGGGACCGUGGGAAUCCGGCCGUGGGAAUGCAGCCACGGGGUUUUUACCUCGGCAUCCUGAGCCACUGAGUGGUUGUGUCCGGAGCAGAAGAGCGCUGAGCCCGGUGUUCCAUGGCGCAACCAGCCCUGCGCAGCCGCAACCUCGGGUUCCACCUCUCUUUCCUCCCUAGGACACUUCUGAGCACUGGAUCACCCGCAGGACCUAUUGUGUCCUGAACUCCAGAGCACCUAGAGAUGCUCCCAGCCUCUGCAGGGUGGAGGGCUGGGUGACCUCCGCCCCUUCCUCGUCUCUCUCCUCUCCGCCCACUUUCUCUGCCCGCACAGGGUGAGGCUGCUGCACGGUCCUCUGAUGCUUUGGCCACCGAGCAGCAGAAGACAACGCUUUUAGCCACCAGGCAACUACGGAAAGUUUUGCUUUAAACUCGUUUCCAAAUGAAAGAGGUCAUUUCCGAAGCUUCAAGACAGAAACAAGGAAAACCAAGGCAUGUUUAGAGCCUGGUGUGUGGGAUUGUCGGGUACAGCUUAUGGGGAAUGAAUUAAUUCCAGGUCCAACCAAAAAGGGACGCGGAAAUCUGGGUAAAGGUCUGCCAGUUUGAAAGAGAACUUCUAGCAGAUAUCCACAGGGAGUGAAUUAGAAGUUCUGGGCAACUGCUGUAAGAGGAACAGCCUUAGGCUCCACUGUCACUGGAGUGCAAGCCGGGUAAGAGUAUAAAGGGAAGUGAGAGCUGCGUUCUUAAGCACCUGCUGGCCUGGGAUUCGAGACCUUUUGGGAGCUUCGAAGUCCUUGAGAGAAUUUCUAGUGACAUCCACAACAAAGGAUAUACACCUUAUAGAUUUUGUAAAAUGUACUUUGUGUUCAAGUAAAGGCGCGCUCAUUUUUCAUUAAGAACUGUUAUUUGAGCUUGUUAAACGUAUAGUGCUGUGUGAACUUGUACAAUGUGAGUUCUUUUCACUAUGAUUGUUUUUUAGCUAAUAACAUCCACACCUCUGAAUAUGUCAUUUCCAGCGCAGCACUUGUGUGCCCCUAUUACCUCGAUUUCCCUUCUGGCCCUAGCAAAAGGUUGUCACUAGCUGUGUAAAGAGUUCUGGAAUCUGCUUCUCCAUUCCAGAGCCAGAAGGUGCUUCCAAAUUCCUGAAGAUCGAAAGGGCUCAUAAAGUGCAAAGGCAAGAUAAAAUAAAUUAGCCAUUAACUGUAGAAAAGUCCGGCUGCACACUCUCCCCCUGUGGUGGAGACAGAGCAGUUUUAAUUGAUAUUAUCAUAGCGUGUUUAAACUGUGACUUGGGUAUGGUCAGAGAGGUCAAUGUUUUGAUUAGUUGGAAAAUGCUGUGUCCCGGGAUGGCCAGUAUCCAAAGAACAACCCUGUCACAAGCCACACUGAAAAUGUGACACGGAGUGCCACUCUUUCCUUUAAUGAUUAACAGUCCUUGGUUGCAGCUCAGUGUGUUGAUGGUUUUCCUUGUGUUUCUCUCGUGGAAAUGGCCCUCUAUGGGGGGGGGGGGGGUCUUCUCUGUCAUUCCCCUGUUCUCACCAAAUCUUUGAAGUAGUGAAUUCUAGAGCCAGAUUUCGAUUUGGGAAUCUCUGCAGCUUGGAGACAGGGGCAUCUCACACCAGUGCUGUGGAACUGGGUGGGAAGGAACCAGCCUGCUCAUUCAAUGUCAAAUUGUAGCACUCAAUAAAACCAAGGCAAUUGUGAUUUCUUUUCCAAAGCACUACCGGAAUUGCAUCAUUUCUUCAAUCUAUUCUGCAUCUGUUAUUGGAAUUCCCUCUUUAGAACCCCAUUCCUUAACCAACACAUAGUUCAGACAAACUAGACAUAUUAAUAUUAGCAGGGCAAGGUGCUCUCAAAAAGUGAACAAUGAACAACUUUUAAUGUUGCUCCCAGGCCUAUGUGCCACCCUAAUCUGACUCCCAGUUCCUAGUCCCCAAAGACAGUGCUACAAAACGGGUUAAUCCACAGAAAGAAAAGCCGUCAGGCAAAAACAGAAGAGCUGAAGAUGAGAGGCUGACCAGCCUUUUUAAAAUAUAUCUCAUUUUGGUUUUAUUGCUGCAUGUGUGAAGUUGAUACGCCUAUAGAGCCACUUGUAGACACAUCCAUUCACCAGAUUCAGUGAGAAUUAGCCCUCUGCCUUCUAGGAGACAGAUAUAAAUGCUCUGUGAGCAACCAUGAAUUGCUGUAUUGUGUGGUCCCUGCCAAGAGAUGAGCGUGCUUCUGCAGUAGGCAUGUGAUGGGGUUCCCAAACCAGCAUUCUCUUUAUGUUGAAUGGAGACAAAGUUGAUGCUAGCUUUGCCUCCACUGAAGGAGACAAGAGAGGAAUGCACUGUAUGGGUGGACUUAGCCAUCACUACUCGGGAUUAGACAUGGAGCAGUUUAGACAAAAAAUGUGCACACUCCAUGACAUUGAAAUUGAAAGAAAAAAAUACUCCAUAAAAAUCAAGGAGGAAUGUUGAAAAUUGAGGUUUGGCAUUUUAAUUAAAUUGCCUGCAAAGGUUUAUUGGAAUUUGCCACUGAGAUUAAUAGAGGAACGUGCCCCAAUUUGGUUAUUAUGGAAAUUACAACUUUAGACUUAAAUUCAUGUUUAUUAUGUAAACAUUUGAUACAUAAAAAGUAAUAUACGUAAUGCAUUUGUGAGGAGUAAAUUAUAAAAAUGUAAUACAACUUACUAAGAGACUUGCUACCUAAUAAAAGAUGUUUUCGCUUCCU